rnacentral:rRNA from 1 species
CCUACGGGUGGCAGCAGUGGGGGAUAUUGCACAAUGGGGGCAACCCUGAUGCAGCGACGCCGCGUGAGCGAUGGAGUACUUCGGUAUGUAAAGCUCUGUCAGCAGGGAAGAGAAUGACAGUACCUGACCAAGAAGCCCCGGCUAACUACGUGCCAGCAGCCGCGGUAAUACGUAGGGGGCAAGCGUUAUCCGGAUUUACUGGGUGUAAAGGGAGCGUAGACGGGUAGGUAAGUCUGGAGUGAAAGCCCGGGGCCCAACCCCGGGACUGCUUUGGAAACUGUGUAAGUGGAGUACAGGAGGGGCAGGCGCAAUUCCUGGUGUAGCGGUGAAAUGCGUAGAUAUCAGGAGGAACACCGGCGGCGAAGGCGGCCUGCUGGACUGAAACUGACGUUGAGGCUCGAAAGCGUGGGGAGCAAACAGGAUUAGAUACCCGUGUAGUC